CACGACGUGGAACAUAUUUUGGACCAAUAUGAAGAGACGCAGCAAGCCCGGCGAGUUGUGGGAUCUAGACUCGAAGGCUUGCAUAAUAAGAUCGUGGCAAGGCAGAAGGAGCUGGAGGAAGCUGCUAAGUAAGUAUUAUACAUGUGAUACAUUUCCUAUUCAAUUUCUGACACAUAGGAAUACAAUGAAAAGAGUGUCAGCUGUCACUCCAGCAUUUUGCUAAACACCUACAUUGCAAUAAAUUUGUCUCCAAAAGUCUGUAGUGGUCCAUAGCCUUGUAACCAUAGUCUUUCAGAUUCAUUAGAGAUGGAGCAAGUAGCCAAUCAGAGCACUGGAACAGCAACUAAAUGUGUGAAGGCCCUAGCUUCAUGUAGAUAUGGAGACUGGAAGCACAACUUGUGUUUGUACCUUGCCCAUACUAGAUUCAACUGUAGUUAGCAAUCCCUAGUAUCAGCCCCUGUGGUCUCUGACUCUCAGAAGACCAGUCCCUAGCCAUACAGGUACAAUGAGCUUUCCUCUUUUUAAAGUGAUCCAAGAGAGUCCCUGCAUGUUCUGAGCAUUAGACAGUUCCAGAGCCACUGGCUCAAUCACAAGGUUCCAGUGUAUCUAAGCCACAGCCAGGGUUGCCCAUCCCUACAGCAGAGCUUGUAACCUACAGCAAACUCAGCUCUGUUACCCACAUUUGGCACAGGGCACAGUAUUGUUGCAGGUAUACUAGUAAUGUUAUAGUAAAUUUUGAAACAGAAUACAACAUUGGCUCAUAUUUUAAUUUAUUUUUGCGCAGGAUCAAAUCGAUAGAACAGCGAGAGGAACCCCCUGUGGUGGUGGUGGAGCCCAGGCUGAGCACCAGGAGGAGGCUUACAAAAGCCAUAAAGAAUAAAUUUCAGAGGAUUCGGCGUUCCACCAGACGAGUCCUUCUGGAUUUUAUCUCCCUUUUCCGAAACCCUCCACCUCCCUGACCCUCUUGGUUUUUUUAUCCCAUCUUCUGUGUGCCUGGUGUGUGCAUGAUGUGUAGGUCUGAGUGUAUGGGUGCAUUUGU